rnacentral:rRNA from 1 species
CCGGUAAUUUAGCUUGUUGGUCGGGUAAAGGCCUACCAAGACUAUGAUCAGUAGCUGGUUUGAGAGGACGAUCAGCCACACUGGGACUGAGACACGGCCCAGAUCCCUACGGGGAGCAGCAGUGAGGAAUCUUCCGCAAUGGGCGAAAGCCUGACGGAGCACUAUCGCGUGGAGGAAGACAGCUCGUGAGUUGUAAACUCCUUUUGUCAAAGAAGAAAAAUGACGGUAUUUGACGAAUAAGCAUCGGCUAAACUCUGUGCCAGCAGCCGCGGUAAUACAGGGGAUGCAAGCGUUAUCCGGAAUUAUUGGGCGUAAAGCGUUUUGAGGUGGGUCACCAAGUCUGCUGUGAAAGAUCAGGGCUUAACCCUGAAUAUGCGGUGCGACUCUGUAUUUUACAGAGUUGAUACUUUUGUCUAACAAGAGUAUGAAACUAAUGGCCUUGAGUACGGUAGGGGUAGAGGGAAUUCUCGGAGAAGCGGUGAAAUGCAUAGAUAUCGGGAAGAACACCAAAGGCGAAAGG